rnacentral:misc_RNA from 1 species
GCACGCGGGAAAUGUUCUCAGCCAAAUUGCGAUCCAACACCGCCUGAAUGUAACCGCCCACAUUGAAGUCUUUGAGGUUGAAGUCGUUGGGGGCGCGGGCGGACCACAGCCGCAUGGUGUUCACUGUGUUGUUGCGGUAACCCGGCACCGGAGUGUCGUACGGCAGCGCCAGCACCACCUGUGUGUCCAACCACUUGGCCCCGUCGUGGGAGUGCUCCACCCGCCCAUAGAAGUGCACCGGAAUGGUGUAUUCGGGACGCGCCUUUUCCCACGGGUUCCCAUAGCGCAGCCAAUCGUCCGCCUCCUCCACCUGCCAUCCGCCCGCGAUCUUCUGGUUGAAGAUGCCGAACUCAUAGCGGAUGCCGUAACCAUAAGCAGCCAAACCCAGCGUGGCCAUGGAGUCCAGGAAGCACGCUGCCAGGCGCCCCAGGCCGCCAUUGCCGAGCCCGGCGUCCUCCUCGAUCUCCUGCAGCUCCUCCAUGUCCAGGCCCAGCUGAUACACGGCCUCGUCGCAGGAGCUCUGCAGCCCGAGGUUGAUCAUUGUGUUCUGCAGAGUGCGGCCCAUGUAGAACUCCAACGACAGAUAAUAGAUGCGCUUGGGGUCCUUCUCGUAGUAGUGCUGCUGCGUGCGCAGCCAUCGGCCCACCAGGUGGUCGCGCACGGUGUGCGCCAG